GGGCCCGUAGCUCAAUGGUCAGAGCCGGCGGCUCAUAACCGCUUGGUUGGAGGUUCGAGUCCUCCCGGGCCCACCA
rnacentral:tRNA from 1 species